rnacentral:lncRNA from 1 species
UUGAAGCGGUUAAUGGAGGCUUCAAAGAUGCAGCAUCAGAGUCCUUUCGCUGUUGGGUGGGAGACUUGGAGAACAGCUACCACUUGACAGGUUCAGCGGUUGGACCACACCCGUGUCCCACCAUGGUACGUGAAUUUCAGUCAGUGAUUGGGAAAGAAACGAGGAAACAAGCAUGGAAAAAAUGGGGAGGGAAACCAGAUAUUCUUGUGGCUUGUGUAGGGACAGGGUCCAAUGCUGUGGGCCUGUUCCAUGAGUUUGUGGGAGACAAGGAUGUGAGGCUCAUUGGAGUUGAAGCAGGUGGGCUUGGGUUAGAGACUGGAAAACAUUCUUCAACAUUGGCCACAGGGGAAGUGGGUGUUUACCAUGGUGCUAAGAGCUAUUUGAUGCAGGAUCAGGAUGGUCUUCAAAUUAUUCAACCUCACUCCAUUGCACCUGGGUAAUUCAUUCAUUCAUUUAUCGUCUCAUUUACAUCGAUUUGUUCUCCCAAUAAAAUUUUGACAUAUCAACAAAUGGUAGAAUGGAAAAAAUAAGACAGGGAAGAUUUGCGUUCUUAAAUUUCACUUAUUAUUUAUUUUUUUUCUAUUAAUAUUUAAAAGCAUCUUCUCUUUAUUCUUUUUUUUUUGGUACAUCGGAAAAUUUUCUUCUCUUUAUUCUAUUCAAACUAGAUUUAUUUAAUUUUUUAAAACUCACUUUAUAUCUAUUCCCAAACACAAAUUCCCUUUUUCAAAGUUAAUUAUAUUUCACAACAAAUAUGAAUGUUACUUUUAUCAAACUUUAAGUUUAUCUAACUCUAAAAUAAAAGGACCCUAUAAAAUGUGUAUCCUCCUAACUAAUACGUAGUGAAAGGUUACGCUCAAUGUCUUAAUCCCAUCAAUUCUUUGUCUUUUGAAACAUUACAUCAAUUUCUAAUGUUUGGGACUUUGAUGCAAAACCCCAAGGAAAUAAAUUAGGUUUUAUUUAUAAGCAAUAAAGUAGGAAGUAUUCAAAAUUGAUGUAUGCCUAUUUGAAUUAUUUCUGCCCAACUUAUAAAACUCAACUAACUUAUAGACAGACAUAUAUACCAAACUUCCUAAUUUGUGAAACAAUAGAAAUAUGUAAAAAGGGUUUUUUUUAAGGAUUUAAAAAAGAACAAGUCCUUUAAUUUUAAUUAUAAUCUUAAUUUGUUCCUAAAACCUUUAAUCCAAAAACACACAGCUAAAUAAAAAUGGAUUUACAGGAUGGAGUACCCAGGAGUUAGUCCAGAGUUGAGCUUCCUUAAAGAAAGCGGACGUGCGGAGUUCUACAUUGCAACCGAUCAAGAAGCUCUUCAUGGUAAUUAUAAAAUAUAAAAAGUGUUAUACUAGCAUUUCUCUAAAAUAAAAUAAAAAUAUCUUUUUUUUCUAUUGAGAUAACUUGUAAGCAAACAAGCAUUAAUUAACUAAUAAUUCACUUUUUGCAGCGUAUGAAAGAUUAUGCAAAUUGGAGGGUAUAAUUCCAUCCCUGGAGGCGUCACAUGCAUUGGGUAUAUUGGAGAAGUUGGUCCCUACAUUAUGCAAUGGAACUAAGGUGGUUGUGAAUUGCAGUGGCCGUGGAGAUAAAGAUGCACCUAUUGUCUUCAACUUCA